UGGGGAAUAUUGCACAAUGGAGGGAACUCUGAUGCAGCGACGCCGCGUGAACGAAGAAGGCUUUCGAGUCGUAAAGUUCUUUUAUAUGGGAAGAUAAUGACGGUACCAUAAGAAAAAGCCCCGGCUAACUACGUGCCAGCAGCCGCGGUAAUACGUAGGGGGCUAGCGUUGUCCGGAAUCACUGGGCGUAAAGGGUUCGCAGGCGGAAAUGCAAGUCAGGUGUAAAAGGCAGUAGCUUAACUACUGUAAGCAUUUGAAACUGCAUAUCUUGAGAAGAGUAGAGGUAAGUGGAAUUUUUAGUGUAGCGAUGAAAUGCGUAGAUAUUAAAAAGAAUACCGGUGGCGAAGGCGGCUUACUGGGCUCAUUCUGACGCUGAGGAACGAAAGCGUGGGUAGCAAACAGG
rnacentral:rRNA from 1 species